rnacentral:ribozyme from 1 species
CAAAUGAAACAAAAAAAAAAAAAAAAAAAAAAAAAAAA